GUUUGUUCUUCAAAAUUCCGCCGAAGGGCAGUGUCUGACCUGAAUAAGAACUGCUUGACUGUGAAGACGUGCAUAUACUCUAAGAUCGAUUAUGAAUAAUAAGAAUUCAUGAACCUUAAGAAAUCUGACAUACCAAUAAUUGGCAUUUCUGACGCGAAAUUUUCAAUUGGCAUUUAUCCGUUUCAGAUCCGUUCAUCAUCUGUUUUAUCC
rnacentral:lncRNA from 1 species